GGUUAAGCGACUAAGCGUACACGGUGGAUGCCCUGGCAGUCAGAGGCGAUGAAGGACGUGCUAAUCUGCGAUAAGCGUCGGUGAGGUGAUAUGAACCGUUAUAACCGGCGAUUUCCGAAUGGGGAAACCCAGUGUGUUUCGACACACUAUCAUUAACUGAAUCCAUAGGUUAAUGAGGCGAACCGGGGGAACUGAAACAUCUAAGUACCCCGAGGAAAAGAAAUCAACCGAGAUUCCCCCAGUAGCGGCGAGCGAACGGGGAGGAGCCCAGAGCCUGAAUCAGUGUGUGUGUUAGUGGAAGCGUCUGGAAAGGCGCGCGAUACAGGGUGACAGCCCCGUACACAAAAAUGCACAUAUUGUGAGCUCGAUGAGUAGGGCGGGACACGUGGUAUCCUGUCUGAAUAUGGGGGGACCAUCCUCCAAGGCUAAAUACUCCUGACUGACC
rnacentral:rRNA from 1 species